rnacentral:lncRNA from 1 species
UAAGAAUUGACACUUUCGGCAUUAGGGUAUAGUAGUUUCUUCGAAAAAAUUUGAAAAAAAUUCGAAAAAAAAUUUAUUUCCAUUCAAACUCAAAAGGAUUGGAUAUCAAGUUGUGAAAAAAAAUUUCGUGAAAAAAAAACCAAAAAAAGUUAGUUUUGAAAAUUCUGUUUGCUGCCUGAAUUUCUGUCAUUGUUAUCUUCUACUAUUCUGCCACACCUAACCCUUUUCACUUCUUUGUUUCAAGCCUACCUUUCUUGUCCUACAAUAUCCUUACCAAGCCCAAACAUCAAAUUUGUAAGCCG